UACUGGAAACGGUGGCUAAUACCGCAUAACGUCGCAAGACCAAAGAGGGGGACCUUCGGGCCUCUUGCCAUCAGAUGUGCCCAGAUGGGAUUAGCUUGUUGGUGAGGUAACGGCUCACCAAGGCGACGAUCCCUAGCUGGUCUGAGAGGAUGACCAGCCACACUGGAACUGAGACACGGUCCAGACUCCUACGGGAGGCAGCAGUGGGGAAUAUUGCACAAUGGGCGCAAGCCUGAUGCAGCCAUGCCGCGUGUAUGAAGAAGGCCUUCGGGUUGUAAAGUACUUUCAGCGGGGAGG
rnacentral:rRNA from 1 species